rnacentral:rRNA from 1 species
UACAGAGGGUGCAAGCGUUGUUCGGAAUUACUGGGCGUAAAGGGUUUGUAGGUGGCCCGCUAAGUCACACGUGAAAUCCCUCAGCUUAACUGGGGAACUGCGUGUGAGACUGGCAGGCUCGAGGGCAGGAGAGGAACGCGGAAUUCCAGGUGUAGCGGUGAAAUGCGUAGAUAUCUGGAGGAACACCGGUGGCGAAGGCGGCGUUCUGGACUGUCUCUGACACUGAAGAACGAAAGCCAGGGGAGCAAACGGG